rnacentral:rRNA from 1 species
UACGUAGGAGGCAAGCGUUGUCCGGAUUCAUUGGGCGUAAAGAGCGUGUAGGCGGCCAGGUAGGUCGGUUGUGAAAACUGGAGGCUCAACCUUCAGAGGUCGACCGAAACCAUCUGGCUAGAGUCCGGGAGAGGAGAGUGGAAUUCCUGGUGUAGCGGUGAAAUGCGCAGAUAUCAGGAAGAACACCCGUGGCGAAAGCGGCUCUCUAGAACGGUACUGACGCUGAGACGCGAAAGCGUGGGGAGCGAACAGG